UCUGGAUGUAAUAACGUUGCUUUUAAUGUAAAUCAUAGAUUGUUUUUUGCUGUACAAAGAUUUAUAAUUGAUACAUCUCGUUUCUCAGUUCGUAAAAAAUGUAAAAAAAAUAUUAUUGUAAGUACCUGUUUAACUGUAACAAGCUGUCUGAGGUGCUACAAAAUUCUCGAUGCUUGUGUUUCUGAGGGCUUGUUGCAGUAGGUAAUUAACGUGUUUCAAAGCGAUGACUCUGAUUGUGAUAUAUGUAAAACCUUAUAAUUAUUGAUGUUGUGUGAUACUUGUGUGUUGCAUGCUUGAAUAUGUAAAUCUUUAUUUUUGUGCAAGAGCCCCCUAGAUGAGCCAACGUGUGCUCCUGGGGCAAUUGCGCCAAAUAAAUAUGUUUAGACUAACUACUAGGCGACUAUAUGCAUGAUUCCGGUUUGUGGAAACACCUUCACAAUUCCACUACCACUGGCGCUACCUAUAGCUUUGAUUGGGUUCAUGCACAUUUGAUUGGCAAUGCAGGGAUCUGUUAAUUAAACGCAUCUGAUUGAUUAUGGCAACAGUACUGGUGAUUCUUAUUCUGAACCUGUUUCCACAGACUAAAAAUAUGUAUUAUAUUUUCGCCAUGCAAACCUAUACAAAUACUGAACUUAUUACUAGCCAAAUUGCAACUGCAUAAUUACCUAAACACUACUUACAGUGUUUAGGAACGAACUUUCCCUAAGUCUCAUGUUAUUAGUAUAUUUUGUGUUCAAUAUAUAGACCACAGUAAGACUUUUUUAAAUGUUUAUUUCAUUAACAAACGACGUUUCGGAGAUUUACUCCAUCUUCAGGUAGGAUUACAAUUUGAAUUUAAACUAACAUGCGCAUGCAUAAACGUUAAAAUUGCGACCGUUAUUCGCGCGUGCGAAAUUGCGUAAGCAUAUAAAUUACGUGCCCGUGUCCGAU